AGCUCCAAUAGCGUAUAUUAAAGUUGCUGCGGUUAAAAAGCUCGUAGUUGGAUCUCAGUCUCGGUCGGACGGUCCAUUUCGAUGGUACUGUUCGAAUCGGACAUUUGGCCGCCUUUCCCAGUAUCCUCUUGACUGAGUGUAUUGGGAGAGUGCUCAAAGCAGGCAUUCGCCUGAAUCUUCGUGCAUGGAAUGAUGGAAUAGGGCCUCGGUUCUAUUUUGUUGGUUUCCGGAACUCGAGGUAAUGAUUAAGAGGGACAGACGGGGGCAUUCGUAUUGCGACGUUAGAGGUGAAAUUCUUAGAUCGUCGCAAGACGAACUACUGCGAAAGCAUUUGCCAAGAAUGUUUUCA
rnacentral:rRNA from 1 species